GUCUCUAACUGAAGCGGGAGCUUCAGGUCUUGUCCUCACUGCUUUGUGUCUUCUGGUUUUAGGGGCGCAGCCUCUGUGGCCCUGUGACCUGUCCCCUGGAAGCCUAGAAAUGGGACUGUUGACAUUUAGGGAUGUGGCCAUAGAAUUCUCUCUGGAGGAGUGGCAGUGCCUGGACACUGCACAGAAGAAUUUAUAUAGGAAUGUGAUGUUAGAGAACUACAGAAACCUGGCUUUCCUGGGUGUUGCCGUCUCUAAGCCAGACCUCAUCACCUGUCUGGAGAAAGACAAAGAGCCCUGGAAUAUGAAGCGACAUGAGAUGGUGGAUGAACCCCCAGGUAUAUGUCCUCAUAUUGCUCAAGACAUUUGGCCAGAGCAGGGCAUGGAAGAUUCUUUUCAAAAAGUAAUACUAAGAAGAUUUGAAAAAUGUGGACAUGAGAACUUACAGUUAAGAAAAGGUUGUAAAAGUGUGGAUGAGUGUAAGGUACACAAAGAAGGCUAUAAUGGACUUAACCAGUGUUUCACAACUACCCAGGGCAAAGUAUCUCAAUGUGGUAAAUAUAUGAAAGUCUUUUAUAAAUUUAUAAAUUUAAACAGAUAUAAGAUAAGACAUACUAGAAAGAAACCUUUCAAAUGUAAAAAUUGUGUCAAAUCAUUUUGCAUGCUUUCACACAAAACCCACCAUAAAAGCAUUUAUACUACAGAGAAGCCAUACAAAUGUAAAGAAUGUAGAAAAACCUUUAAUUGGUCCUCAACCCUUACUAAUCAUAAGAAGCCUCAUACUGAAGAAAAGCCCUACAAAUGUGAAGAAUAUGGCAGAGCUUUUAAUCGAUCCUCAAAUUAUGCUACACAUAAGAUAACUCAUACUGCAGAGAAACCUUACAAGUGUGAAGAAUGUGGCAAAGCAUUUAGCCAAUCCUCCACACUAACCAUACAUAAGAGGAUACACACUGGAGAGAAACCCUGCAAAUGUGAAGAAUGUGGUAAAGCAUUUAGCCAACCCUCAGCCCUAACCAUACAUAAGAGGAUGCACAUUGGAGAGAAACCCUACAAAUGUGAAGAAUGUGGCAAAGCAUUUGUAUGGUCCUCAACCCUAACUAGACAUAAGAGGCUGCACACGGGAGAGAAACCCUACAAAUGUGAAGAAUGUGCCAAAGCUUUUAGACAGUUCGGACACCUUACUACACAUAGGAUAAUUCAUACCCAGGGCAAAGUAUCUCAAUGUGGUAAAUAUAUGAAAGUCUUUUAUAAAUUUAUAAAUUUAAACAGAUAUAAGAUAAGACAUACUAGAAAGAAACCUUUCAAAUGUAAAAAUUGUGUCAAAUCAUUUUGCAUGCUUUCACACAAAACCCACCAUAAAAGCAUUUAUACUACAGAGAAGCCAUACAAAUGUAAAGAAUGUAGAAAAACCUUUAAUUGGUCCUCAACUCUUACUAAUCAUAAGAAGCCUCAUACUGAAGAAAAGCCCUACAAAUGUGAAGAAUAUGGCAGAGCUUUUAAUCGAUCCUCAAAUUAUGCUACACAUAAGAUAACUCAUACUGCAGAGAAACCUUACAAGUGUGAAGAAUGUGGCAAAGCAUUUAGCCAAUCCUCCACACUAACCAUACAUAAGAGGAUACACACUGGAGAGAAACCCUGCAAAUGUGAAGAAUGUGGUAAAGCAUUUAGCCAACCCUCAGCCCUAACCAUACAUAAGAGGAUGCACAUUGGAGAGAAACCCUACAAAUGUGAAGAAUGUGGCAAAGCAUUUGUAUGGUCCUCAACCCUAACUAGACAUAAGAGGCUGCACACGGGAGAGAAACCCUACAAAUGUGAAGAAUGUGCCAAAGCUUUUAGACAGUUCGGACACCUUACUACACAUAGGAUAAUUCAUACCGGAGAGAAACCCUACAAAUGUGAAGAAUGUGAUAAGGCAUUUAUAUGGCCCUCAACCCUAAGUAAACAUAAAAGGAUUCACACUGGAGAGAAACCCUUCAAAUGUGAAGAAUGUGGCAAAGCUUUUCAUCGAUCCUCAAAUCUUACUAAACAUAAGAUAAUUCAUACUGGAGAGAAGCCUUACAAGUGUGAAGAAUGUGGCAAAGCAUUUAUAUGGUCCUCAAACCUUACUGAACAUAAGAAAAUUCAUACUAGAGAGAAACCCUACAAAUGUGAAGAAUGUGGUAAAGCAUUUAGCCGAUCCUCAGCCCUAACUACACAUAAGAGAAUGCACACUGGAGAGAAACCCUACACAUGUGAAGAAUGUGGCAAAGCUUUUAGCCAAUCCUCAACCCUUACUGCACAUAAGAUAAUUCAUACUGGAGAGAAACCCUACAAAUGUGAAGAAUGUGGCAAAGCUUUUAUAUUGUCCUCAACCCUAUCUAAACAUAAGAGGAUUCACACUGGAGAGAAACCCUACAAAUGUGAAGAAUGUGGCAAAGCUUUUAGUCAAUCCUCAAAUCUUAGUACACAUAAGAUAAUUCAUACUGGAGAGAAACCUUACAAGUGUGAAGAAUGUGGCAAAGCGUUUAAUCGAUCCUCAAAUCUUGCUACGCAUAAGAUAAUUCAUAAUGGAGAGAAACCUUACAAGUGUGACAAAUGUGGUAAAUCAUUUAUCUGGUCCUCAACCCUUUUUAAGCAUAAGAGAAUUCAUACUUGAGAGAAACCUUAAAAAGGGUAAAGCAUGUGGGAAAGCAUUUAUAAGUUUCUCAACCCUUACUGAACAUGAGAUAAUUCAUACUAGAGAGAAACCCUACAAAUGUGAAGAAUGUGGCAAAGCAUGUAUAUGGUCCUCAACGCUAAACAUAAGAGGAUGCACACUGGAGAGAAACCCUACAAAUGUGAAGAAUGUGAAAAAGCUUUUAAUCCUCAAAUCUUACUAAACAUUAGAUAAUUCACACUGGAGAGGAACCUUACAAGUGUGAAGAAUAUGGGAAAGCUUUUAAUCGAUUCUCAAAUCUUACUACACAUAAGAUAAUUCAUACUGCAAAUAACCCCUACAAAUGUGAAGAAUGUGGCAAAGCAUAUGAUCCUCACCCCUAAGUAGACGUAAGAGGAUGCACACUGGAGAGAAACCUUACAAAUGUGAAAAAUGUGGCAAAGCCUUUAAAUGUUCCUCAACUCUUACUAAACAUAAUUCAUACUGAAGAGAAACCUUAAAAAUGUGAAAAAUGUGGCAAAGCCUUUAAGCAGUCUUCAAUCCUGAGUAACCAUAAGAGAAUUCAAACUGGAGAGAAACCCUGCAAAUCUGAAGAAAUGUGGGAAAUCUUUUAACCUGUCUUCAACCUUUAUUAAACAUAAGAUAAUUUCAUACUGGAGUAAAACCCUACAAAUGUGAAGAAUGUGGCAAAGUGUUUUUCUAGUCCUCAGCCCUAACUAAACAUAAAAAAAUUCAUGCUGGACAGCAACCCUACAAAUGGGAAAAAAUUGGCAAAGCCUUUAACCAGUCCUUACAUCUCACUACAGAUAAGAUAACUCAUAUUGGAGAGAAAUCUUACAAGUGUGAAUAAUAUGGAAAGUCUAAAAAAGUCCUCAAUUCUUAACAGAUAUAAGAUUAUUCAUACUGUCACACCUGUAAUCCCAGCACUUUGGGAGGCCGAGAUGGGCAGAUCACGAGGUCAGAUUGAGACCAUCUUGGCUAACACGGUGAAACCCUGUCUCUACUGA